CAUCGAGCGGGAAAAUAAUCAAACGUCAUAUUAACUGAAAAUGCAAAAACGGAUGACAAAGGACUGUUAAACACAAACAAGGUGUAGCGGCCGUUAAGGGGGACAAAGGUGAGCAGCCGCAGAGUGACUCCAGCAGACCCCCAGGUAAGAGAGGAGGACUGUGAAGACCUGACAGCAGGAGCCGAAGAUGGCAGCACAUUCCCACCUCGGCACGCUGAACAGCUGGACGAGAGCAGCACAGGGUGUUUCAUUUGAUCCCACAUUGUCAGAUGUUCACAUUUGCAGAGCAGCGAUUUAUCUUCAUACAUAUCUGUGCUGACAGAUGAGCUGGGAUGAAUGGAAGAGCAAACAGAAGCCUCACAAAGAAGAAAAAUCAGUAGCUGGACAGACAUCAGUGC